UACGGGGGAGCAAGCGUUGUUCGGAUUUACUGGGCGUAAAGGGCGCGUAGGCGGCCAGCACAAGUCAGUUGUGAAAUCUCCGGGGCUUAACUCGGAAAGGUCAACUGAUACUGUGCGGCUAGAGUGCAGAAGGGGCAACUGGAAUUCGUCGGUGUAGCGGUGAAAUGCGCAGAUAUCAGGAGGAACACCAAUGGCGAAGGCAGCUCGCUGGGACGGUACUGACGCUGAGACGCGAAAGCGUGGGAGCGAACAGG
rnacentral:rRNA from 1 species